AUGCUGAAAGUGUGUGGGUAUUUGUGUGUGCAUCACAUGUGUGCACUAGAUGCCAAUAUGAAAUACAUUAUUAUUAUUAUUUUGAGACAGGGUCUCUCUUUGUUACCCAGGCUGGAGUGCAGUGGUGUGAACAUGGUUUACUGCAGCCUCAAACUCCUGGGAUCAAGUGAUUCUCCUGCCUCAGCCUCCCAUAUUACAUAUGUGAGCCAUCGUACUCAACCUGAAAUAUAUUCUUACCAUCGGUCACGAACAUGCGUAGUUAACCCAGACCCUGAUACCAUCCUGGACCAGACAGAAGCAGCGUCCUUCUCCUGGAGGAGCUUGGAGCCACAGCAAGAGCCAGGCAUUACACCCCGGUAAGCAUGCAGAGUUCUGAAGAACAAGCUCGCAGCCUCACUCACUCCAGGCUUUUCCUCUGGACCUGAGCUCUGAUACCCGCUGAAUUGUCAGAAUCAGAGCAAAUCUGGAGGUCAAAAAGCAAGGCCAGCGAAGCCGGGAUCCCUAGGGUAAUUAGGCCCACCUUGCCCACAGGUGCUACACAGGUGGUCUCAGCUCCCAGCGAUGACCCAGGAGAAGCCCACGGGAGCCCUCAGCUGCAACCAAUCCUCCAGGCUGCUGGCCUGCCUGCCUUCCUGAAAUAGUCCAGAUUUCACUUAUUAAACAUAUUAAUCUGAAGUUAACAAUUUGUGCUUGUUUCACUAAAUGGCUUGAAGAGAAGAAUGCAGGGGAAAAGAAUUUGAUUUGAUGGGAAGGCUUAACCCGGAUGGACUAAGCGGCCUUCAUAUUCUGACUUUAAAACAACUGGAAAUCGAGGGACUAUUCACAGAAGUGGAGAGUCAGAGGGUAAACCUAACUGGAGUUAAGGAAGCACAAACAAAACCCAUCCCCUUCUCGGCCCCAACCUGCCAUGUGACUCUAAGGACAUUGCUUACUGCAGUGACAGCAUUUUAAACAGCUGCCCAGAGGGGUUUUAAAUAGACUUGAUGUAAUUCAAGGAUUUAUAGAGCAUAGGUUACCAAAAUAUUAAAGUUCUGAAAUAUCCCUAAACCAAGACCACGGCCCUAGCAUUACCCACUCUGAACCGAAUCAUUCUCUGCCGUUGGAGUGUGGUGCAUGUGGCUUCUUCAGAAAACUGUGGCUGCUCUAAAUGAGUGGCCAGAAAAAGAUAUACAGCCUCUGAUGAAUAGAUGCGACCUUCCAUGUAAAAACACACUCUCCCGGUCUUCGGCAACUCAGUCCAUGGAAAGCACUAAUCUUCAGAAAAUAAACCAGACAGUUAUUUUUUAAUUGCUUAUCAAAUCUAAGUAUUCAAGGAAAUUACAGUGGGGUGGGGUAGAGGUGGGAAUACACAAAAUCAUGAAUCUGGGUAACGAAGUGCCCCUGGACCUCUACUCUGUAAAAUAAAC
rnacentral:lncRNA from 1 species